AUUGAACGCUGGCGGCAGGCCUAACACAUGCAAGUCGAACGAGUGGCGGACGGGUGAGUAAUGUCUGGGAAACUGCCUGAUGGAGGGGGAUAACUCCUGGAAACGGUAGCUAAUACCGCAUACCAUCAGAUGUGCCCAGAUGGGAUUAGCGAGUGGGUGGGGUAACGGCUAACCAAGGCGACGAUCCCUAGCUGGUCUGAGAGGAGGACGAGCCAUGCUGGAACUGAGACACGUGCCAGACUCCUACGGGGGGCAGCAGUGGGGAAUAUUGCACGAUGUGCGCAAGCCUGAAGCAGCCAUGCCGUGUGUAUGAAGAAGGCCUGCGGGUUGUAAAGUACUUUCAGCGGGGAGGCGUGACCCGCAGAAGAAGCACCGGCGAACUCCGUGCCAGCAGCCGCGGUAAUA
rnacentral:rRNA from 1 species